rnacentral:rRNA from 2 species
UAUAACCGGCGAUACCCGAAUGGGGAAACCCAGUGUGACUCGUCACACUAUCAUUAACUGAAUCCAUAGGUUAAUGAGGCGAACCGGGGGAACUGAAACAUCUAAGUACCCCGAGGAAAAGAAAUCAACCGAGAUUCCCCCAGUAGCGGCGAGCGAACGGGGAGGAGCCCAGAGCCUGAAUCAGCAUGUGUGUUAGUGGAAGCGUCUGGAAAGGCGCGCGAUACAGGGUGACAGCCCCGUACACAAAAGCGCAUGUGCUGUGAGCUCGAUGAGUAGGGCGGGACACGUGGUAUCCUGUCUGAAUAUGGGGGGACCAUCCUCCAAGGCUAAAUACUCCUGACUGACCGAUAGUGAACCAGUACCGUGAGGGAAAGGCGAAAAGAACCCCGGCGAGGGGAGUGAAAAAGAACCUGAAACCGUGU